UACGUAGGGACCAAGCGUUGUUCGGAUUUACUGGGCGUAAAGGGCGCGUAGGCGGCAAUUCAAGUCACUUGUGAAAUCUCUGAGCUUAACUCAGAACGGUCAAGUGAUACUGCUUUGCUAGAGUGCAGAAGGGGCAACCGGAAUUCUUGGUGUAGCGGUGAAAUGCGUAGAUAUCAAGAGGAACACCGGAGGUGAAGACGGGUUGCUGGGCUGACACUGACGCUGAGGCGCGAAAGCUAGGGUAGCAAACGGG
rnacentral:rRNA from 2 species